rnacentral:rRNA from 1 species
UACGGAGGGUGCAAGCGUUAUCCGGAUUCACUGGGUUUAAGGGGUGCGUAGGCGGGUAGGUAAGUCAGUGGUGAAAUCUUCGAGCUUAACUCGGAAACUGCCUUUGAUACUAUCUAUCUUGAAUAUUGUGGAGGUAAGCGGAAUAUGUCAUGUAGCGGUGAAAUGCUUAGAUAUGACAUAGAACACCUAUUGCGAAGGCAGCUUACUACGCAUAUAUUGACGCUGAGGCACGAAAGCGCGGGGAUCAAACAGG